GGGCCCGCACAAGCAGCGGAGCGUGUGGUUUAAUUCGAUGUUACACGAAGAACCUUACAGGGUUUGACAUGCAAGUGGUAGGAAGCCGAAAGGUGACCGACCCUUCGGGGAGCUUGCACAGGUGCUGCAUGGCUGUCGUCAGCUCGUGUCGUGAGAUGUUCGGUUAAGUCCGCUAACGAGCGCAACCCUCGCUGUGUGUUAUAUGUGUCACACGGGACUGCCGGUCUUAAGCCGGAGGAAGGUGGGGAUGAUGUCAAGUCAGCAUGGCCUUUAUAUCCUGGGCUACACACACGCUACAAUGGCCAACACAAUAGGUUGCUAAGCCGCGAGGUGGCGCCAAUCCAUAAAGUUGGUCUCAGUUCAGAUUGUAGGCUGCAACCCGCCUGCAUGAAGAUGGAGUUGCUAGUAACCGCAGGUCAGCUAUACUGCGGUGAAUACGUUCCCGGGGCUU
rnacentral:rRNA from 1 species